GCCUAAUACAUGCAAGUCGAACGAACUCUGGUAUUGAUUGGUGCUUGCAUCAUGAUUUACAUUUGAGUGAGUGGCGAACUGGUGAGUAACACGUGGGAAACCUGCCCAGAAGCGGGGGAUAACACCUGGAAACAGAUGCUAAUACCGCAUAACAACUUGGACCGCAUGGUCCGAGUUUGAAAGAUGGCUUCGGCUAUCACUUUUGGAUGGUCCCGCGGCGUAUUAGCUAGAUGGUGGGGUAACGGCUCACCAUGGCAAUGAUACGUAGCCGACCUGAGAGGGUAAUCGGCCACAUUGGGACUGAGACAC
rnacentral:ncRNA from 1 species